rnacentral:lncRNA from 1 species
CUCACUCACUCCACCCACUCUCCCAGCAGCCAGAGUCCUCUGAAACACAGGCCAUCGAUGACUUCCUCUGCCCUGGACUUGUACCCAAGCUCCUUACCAGACCCCCAGGACCUGGCUUUGCCCACCUCUCUGCUGGAACCCCUCUCUGCCCUGGGGCAUUGGCACAUGCCACCCCCACGACCUGGGCCCAUGCUUCUGGGAUAGCUAGGUCGGACCAGCCUUCAGGCCUCGUACCCAUGUCCACCUUGGCACGGCCUCCCCACUGCCCCCUCGUUAGCCUAUCUCCUUCCACACGGUAGCCGACAUGGCACUGACUCCAGCGUGCCACCACACAUCAGGGAUUCUUAGAGGGGAAAGAAGAAGGCCAAUCCUGAGGGUUCUGAGGAAGGAACCGCCACAAAAGGGUGGAUGUUACAGAGACCAGCAUGAAGCAUCCACCAGCGACAUGGGCAGUGAUGCUGGUAAUGAGCUCACCAUCGGGAAAGCACGCAAGAAGAGCCCAGGAUACACAGGCCCUCGGCAUCCAUGUCAUGCUGCGAUGCAUCCCAUAGAGCUCAGCCUUCCUGGUUCUAUUCCUCAGGAACUCGUGACUAUUUAGAUGAGUUCUCAGCUUUUAUUCUCAGUUAAUAAACUGAAUUUUCC